CCCGCUGAACUUAAGCAUAUCAAUAAGCGGAGGAAAAGAAACCAACAGGGAUUGCCUCAGUAACGGCGAGUGAAGCGGCAACAGCUCAAAUUUGAAAUCUGGCUCACGCCCGAGUUGUAAUUUGUAGAGGAUGCUUCGGGUGAAGCCGCGGUCUAAGUUCCUUGGAACAGGACGUCACAGAGGGUGAGAAUCCCGUAUGUGAUCGGUUGCCUUUGCCAUGUGAAACUCCUUCGACGAGUCGAGUUGUUUGGGAAUGCAGCUCUAAAUGGGAGGUAAAUUUCUUCUAAAGCUAAAUACCGGCCAGAGACCGAUAGCGCACAAGUAGAGUGAUCGAAAGAUGAAAAGCACUUUGAAAAGAGAGUUAAAAAGUACGUGAAAUUGUUGAAAGGGAAGCGCUUGCGGCCAGACUUGCCCGCGGUUGCUCAGCCCGCCCUUUGGCGGGUGCACUCUUCCGCGGUCAGGCCAGCAUCGGUUUGGGCGGUCGGACAAAGGCGUUGGGAACGUGACCUCCCCUCGGGGAGGUGUUAUAGCCCGGCGCGUAAUGCGACCAGCCCGGACCGAGGUUCGCGCUCUGCUAGGAUGCUGGCGUAAUGGCCGUAAGCGGCCCGUCUUGAAACACGG
rnacentral:rRNA from 1 species